rnacentral:sRNA from 12 species
CCCUGACAGCCGCAUGGUGCGUCUGACAUUUGCCACGACAGGAGAAUCACAUG